rnacentral:rRNA from 1 species
UUGAUCCUGGCUCAGGACGUACGCUGGCGGCGUGCCUAAUACAUGCAAGUCGUACGCUUCUUUUUCCACCGGAGCUUGCUCCACCGGAAAAAGAAGAGUGGCGAACGGGUGAGUAACACGUGGGUAACCUGCCCAUCAGAAGGGGAUAACACUUGGAAACAGGUGCUAAUACCGUAUAACAAUCGAAACCGCAUGGUUUUGAUUUGAAAGGCGCUUUCGGGUGUCGCUGAUGGAUGGACCCGCGGUGCAUUAGCUAGUUGGUGAGGUAACGGCUCACCAAGGCYACGAUGCAUAGCCGACCUGAGAGGGUGAUCGGCCACAUUGGGACUGAGACACGGCCCAAACUCCUACGGGAGGCAGCAGUAGGGAAUCUUCGGCAAUGGACGAAAGUCUGACCGAGCAACGCCGCGUGAGUGAAGAAGGUUUUCGGAUCGUAAAACUCUGUUGUUAGAGAAGAACAAGGAUGAGAGUAACUGUUCAUCCCUUGACGGUAUCUAACCAGAAAGCCACGGCUAACUACGUGCCAGCAGCCGCGGUAAUACGUAGGUGGCAAGCGUUGUCCGGAUUUAUUGGGCGUAAAGCGAGCGCAGGCGGUUUCUUAAGUCUGAUGUGAAAGCCCCCGGCUCAACCGGGGAGGGUCAUUGGAAACUGGGAGACUUGAGUGCAGAAGAGGAGAGUGGAAUUCCAUGUGUAGCGGUGAAAUGCGUAGAUAUAUGGAGGAACACCAGUGGCGAAGGCGGCUCUCUGGUCUGUAACUGACGCUGAGGCUCGAAAGCGUGGGGAGCAAACAGGAUUAGAUACCCUGGUAGUCCACGCCGUAAACGAUGAGUGCUAAGUGUUGGAGGGUUUCCGCCCUUCAGUGCUGCAGCUAACGCAUUAAGCACUCCGCCUGGGGAGUACGACCGCAAGGUUGAAACUCAAAGGAAUUGACGGGGGCCCGCACAAGCGGUGGAGCAUGUGGUUUAAUUCGAAGCAACGCGAAGAACCUUACCAGGUCUUGACAUCCUUUGACCACUCUAGAGAUAGAGCUUCCCCUUCGGGGGCAAAGUGACAGGUGGUGCAUGGUUGUCGUCAGCUCGUGUCGUGAGAUGUUGGGUUAAGUCCCGCAACGAGCGCAACCCUUAUUGUUAGUUGCCAUCAUUCAGUUGGGCACUCUAGCAAGACUGCCGGUGACAAACCGGAGGAAGGUGGGGAUGACGUCAAAUCAUCAUGCCCCUUAUGACCUGGGCUACACACGUGCUACAAUGGGAAGUACAACGAGUCGCGAAGUCGCGAGGCUAAGCUAAUCUCUUAAAGCUUCUCUCAGUUCGGAUUGUAGGCUGCAACUCGCCUACAUGAAGCCGGAAUCGCUAGUAAUCGCGGAUCAGCACGCCGCGGUGAAUACGUUCCCGGGCCUUGUACACACCGCCCGUCACACCACGAGAGUUUGUAACACCCGAAGUCGGUGAGGUAACCUUUUGGAGCCAGCCGCCUAAGGUGGGAUAGAUGAUUGGGGUGAAGUCGUAACAA